rnacentral:lncRNA from 1 species
GCAGGGAACGAGUUACCCUUCCUGGGCGCCUCGGUUGCGUGUUAAAUAGCUGGGAACAGCCCCCAGCGUGGCAUAUACAACAGAUAGAGAUUACAUGAUCAACUUGCUAUACAAGUCUCUUGGAGUACAAGGCUAUCUACUCUAUCUUUAUCCAAUACAACAACCUGCACGUCUACAACCGAAACCACCCAAAUACAAGGAGAGUUAAGCCUGAACUAAACAUAUAGUUUAACAAGGAGAAGUCGUAGGAAACGAGAGAUACUCUCAACCAAUC